AUUUAGUAUUAAUUAUUGGAUAAAAAAGUUAAAAAGUAUUGUUCGAAUAUUUUUUAAAUAUACUAGGUCGGUGGUGCACUUUCCACGAAACCCAUUUAGAAACUACUGGGCUUCCUUGGCCCACGUCGUGUUGGACCCGAUCGAUUUAACCCGGUCCAUUUUACAUCUGAGCCCACCGCUGUAAAUUCACCUACUCACAUCACUGUCCGUCGAUUCAAAGUUUACACACAAAAAUUAGUAGUAUCUAUCUUUGACCGUCCCGAAUUAGGGUUUAAAAGAUUCGUAAAGCGCAGUACGUUCUUAUUACCUGCGCAGUUGAAAAAACACUGACCAGAUUCAGAUCCUGAUUCAGAUCCUGUACUCGUGAAGUUCCUCUAGUGCUUAAAAUAAUAGGCAAAGAAUAUUGUUUGUCUCACUGAAGUUUUACAGAUCUUGUUUUCUGUAAUUUCUUACUGCCCUCAAGAAAAAAGGUAUAUACUUUUAAUCCUUGAUUUGCUGAUGUUCCAUCUUGUUUCUUCUAGAAAUGUGAAUUCCUGAAUUUUAUGAUCUCGGUUUGUAAUUGGAUAAUUAUUUAUACUGUUCGAAAAAUUAUAUGAAUUUUCAUGAACUGCAUUUGAAUUAUCAAUUUGAUUUCUUUGCGCUAUUUUUUCCUUUUGCAGAAAGUGAGAGGUGGCCAAAUUUUGAUUUUGGCUGGAAAUAAUGGCGACAAUGACUCAGCUUCGAUACUCUCCUCUUGCUGGCCACUAUCGCCAGUUCACCUCCUACCGUGAAAUUUCCAAUUUUACUCGCAGAUUUGUUCAUAGUACUUCCCCAAAUGAGCUUUCCAUUUGNUACGACUGGAAUAUAUCAGCAC
rnacentral:lncRNA from 1 species